CGUAGGGGGCGAGCGUUGUCCGGAUUUAUUGGGCGUAAAGAGCUCGUAGGCGGUUUGGCAAGUCGGGUGUGAAAACUCCGGGCUCAACUCGGAGACGCCACUCGAUACUGCCAUGACUUGAGUCCGGUAGGGGAGUGCGGAAUUCCUGGUGUAGCGGUGAAAUGCGCAGAUAUCAGGAGGAACACCGGUGGCGAAGGCGGCACUCUGGGCCGGUACUGACGCUGAGGAGCGAAAGCGUGGGGAGCGAACAGGAUUAGAUACCCUGGUAGUCCACGCCGUAAACGUUGGGCACUAGGUGUGGGGCUCGAUCGACGGGCUCCGUGCCGUAGCUAACGCAUUAAGUGCCCCGCCUGGGAAGUACGGCCGCAAGGCUA
rnacentral:rRNA from 1 species